CCUACGGGAGGCAGCAGUGGGGAAUAUUGCACAAUGGGGGAAACCCUGAUGCAGCGACGCCGCGUGAGUGAAGAAGUAACUCGUUAUGGAAAGCUCUAUCAGCAGGGAAGAAAAUGACGGUACCUGAGUAAGAAGCCCCGUCUAACUACGUGCCAGCAGCCGAGGUAAUACGUAUGGUGCAAGCGUUAUCCGGAUUUACUGGGUGUAAAGGGAGCGCAGGCGGCACGGCAAGCCUGAUGUGAAAGCCCGCGGCCCAACCGCGGGACUGCAUGGGGAACUACCGGGAUGGAGUGCCGGAGAGGUGGGCGGAAUUGCUAGUGUAGCGGUGAAAUGCGUAGAUAUUAGGAGGAACACCAGUGGGGAAGGCGGCCUACUGGAAGGUGACUGACGCGGAGGAUCGAAAGGGUGGGGAGCA
rnacentral:rRNA from 1 species